GACGAACGCUGGCGGCGUGCCUAAUACAUGCAAGUAGAACGCUGAAGAGAGGAGCUUACUCUUCUUGGAUGAGUUGCGAACGGGUGAGUAACGCGUAGGUAACCUGCCUUGUAGCGGGGGAUAACUAUUGGAAACGAUAGCUAGUACCGCAUAACAAUGGAUGACACAUGUCAUUUAUUUGAAAGGGGCAAUUGCUCCACUACAAGAUGGACCUGCGUUGUAUUAGCUAGUAGGUGAGGUAAUGGCUCACCUAGGCGACGAUACAUAGCCGACCUGAGAGGGUGAUCGGCCACACUGGGACUGAGACACGGCCCAGACUCCUACGGGAGGCAGCAGUAGGGAAUCUUCGGCAAUGGGGGCAACCCUGACCGAGCAACGCCGCGUGAGUGAAGAAGGUUUUCGGAUCGUAAAGCUCUGUUGUAAGUCAAGAACGGGUGUGAGAGUGGAAAGUUCACACUGUGACGGUAGCUUACCAGAAAGGGACGGCUAACUACGUG
rnacentral:rRNA from 1 species